GACGAACGCUGGCGGCGUGCUUAACACAUGCAAGUCGAACGGAAAGGCCCUGCUUUUGUGGGGUGCUCGAGUGGCGAACGGGUGAGUAACACGUGAGUAACCUGCCCUUGACUUUGGGAUAACUUCAGGAAACUGGGGCUAAUACCGGAUAGGAGCUCCUGCUGCAUGGUGGGGGUUGGAAAGUUUCGGCGGUUGGGGAGUGACUCGCGGCGUAUCAGCUUGUUGGUGGGGUAGUGGCUUACCAAGGCUUUGACGGGUAGCCGGCCUGAGAGGGUGACCGGCCAGAUUGUGACUGAGAGACGGCCCAGACUCAGCAGCGACGCACAGUGUGGGAAGAGGGACACAUGGGGUUGAGCCUGAUGCCGCACAGCCGCGUGCGGGAUGACGGCCUUCGGGUUGCACACACGGGGCGCCUGUGACGAAGGGUGGGGAACGGUAAUGGGUAAAGAGUCACCGGCUAACCACGUG
rnacentral:rRNA from 1 species